AGCUUGCUACCUGACCUAGCGGCGGACGGGUGAGUAAUGCUUAGGAAUCUGCCUAUUAGUGGGGGACAACAUUCCGAAAGGAAUGCUAAUACCGCAUACGCCCUACGGGGGAAAGCAGGGGAUCUUCGGACCUUGCGCUAAUAGAUGAGCCUAAGUCAGAUUAGCUAGUUGGUGGGGUAAAGGCCUACCAGGGCGACGAUCUGUAGCGGGUCUGAGAGGAUGAUCCGCCACACUGGGACUGAGACACGGCCCAGACUCCUACGGGAGGCAGCAGUGGGGAAUAUUGGACAAUGGGCGAAAGCCUGAUCCAGCCAUGCCGCGUGUGUGAAGAAGGCCUUUUGGUUGUAAAGCACUUUAAGCGAGGAGGAGGCUACUUGGAUUAAUACUCUAGGAUAGUGGACGUUACUCGCAGAAUAAGCACCGGCUAACUCUGUGCCAGCAGCCGCGGUAAUACAGAGGGUGCGAGCGUUAAUCGGAUUUACUGGGCGUAAAGCGUGCGUAGGCGGCUUUUUAAGUCGGAUGUGAAAUCCCUGAGCUUAACUUAGGAAUUGCAUUCGAUACUGGGAAGCUAGAGUAUGGGAGAGGAUGGUAGAAUUCCAGGUGUAGCGGUGAAAUGCGUAGAGAUCUGGAGGAAUACCGAUGGCGAAGGCAGCCAUCUGGCCUAAUACUGACGCUGAGGUACGAAAGCAUGGGGAGCAAACAGGAUUAGAUACCCUGGUAGUCCAUGCCGUAAACGAUGUCUACUAGCCGUUGGGGCCUUUGAGGCUUUAGUGGCGCAGCUAACGCGAUAAGUAGACCGCCUGGGGAGUACGGUCGCAAGACUAAAACUCAAAUGAAUUGACGGGGGCCCGCACAAGCGGUGGAGCAUGCGGUUUAAUUCGAUGCAACGCGAAGAACCUUACCUGGUCUUGACAUAGUAAGAACUUUCCAGAGAUGGAUUGGUGCCUUCGGGAACUUACAUACAGGUGCUGCAUGGCUGUCGUCAGCUCGUGUCGUGAGAUGUUGGGUUAAGUCCCGCAACGAGCGCAACCCUUUUCCUUAUUUGCCAGCGGGUUAAGCCGGGAACUUUAAGGAUACUGCCAGUGACAAACUGGAGGAAGGCGGGGACGACGUCAAGUCAUCAUGGCCCUUACGACCAGGGCUACACACGUGCUACAAUGGUCGGUACAAAGGGUUGCUACCUAGCGAUAGGAUGCUAAUCUCAAAAAGCCGAUCGUAGUCCGGAUUGGAGUCUGCAACUCG
rnacentral:rRNA from 1 species